UACGUAGGGACCAAGCGUUGUUCGGAUUUACUGGGCGUAAAGGGCGCGUAGGCGGCGCGGUAAGUCACUUGUGAAAUCUCUGAGCUUAACUCAGAACGGCCAAGUGAUACUGCAGUGCUAGAGUGUGGAAGGGGCAAUCGGAAUUCUUGGUGUAGCGGUGAAAUGCGUAGAUAUCAAGAGGAACACCUGAGGUGAAGACGGGUUGCUGGGCCAACACUGACGCUGAGACGCGAAAGCGUGGGGAGCAAACAGG
rnacentral:rRNA from 1 species